AACUAAGUCCAUUUAGCAAAAAAUUAAAUCAAACUGAUCAGAAUGGGCCUGAAGUUCAAUGUUAAGCCCGGACAGGGGGGUGCUAGACUGGAAACAGUGUGCAAAUGUCAAUUAUAUGGGCCUAAGCCCAAACUGGUCCAACACAAGAGAUUCGGAACCUCCCUCACGUGCCAAACCAUACACCGCUCCUUCAAAUGUUCCCUCCAUAAUCAUGGCCGGCGAGCAAAGCUUCCGCCGCGCCGGAGUUCAUCGCUGGCAGCGGCGGAGCUCCAAACGUGAAAAUUAACCAACAAAACGGUUGUCUCUACCUCACGGUAUCGAAUGUCUAAACCAAACUUCUUAAUUCUAAACUCGCUGGCAGAAUCGCGAGCAAGCACGCACGAACCCUAAGCAACCUCAUCAACAAUUAAAUUCGGUACAAUCACAAUCAAACAUUAACAGGUUAGGGCUUCGGUCUCCCUAACCUGAUACAAUGCCGUGAUAGGCGGAUCAAAGCCAGAGCAUAAGGAUUAGGUGUGUUACCUUCCGGAUACGACGAUAGAGACGGCGACAGCGACGACACCGAGCACAGGACACAUGCUGAUGCCAUAGAUGGCUCAUCUUGGACCAACUCCAUGACCAUUAGUUCAGCUUGUAGGACACUCAUCUUAGGUUUGCUUUCUUUUUGAAUGGUUCAAUUAGCUAGUUGUUGCAUUCAAUCUGAUUUGUGUCCAAUUUUGUGUGCCACUGAAUGAAUUAACAUGCAUGGUCCUUUGUGGUUUAUUGAACAUUUCCUGCAAAUGGCUUACUGACUUGCAUUAGGCCUUUUGAGACUUGCUUGAUAUUCAAUGGCUGCUGUAUCGAAGGGGCUCAUGAUGAUGGUUAUGCGGUCAGGUGCAGGGUGAUUUUCGGUUAUCCAGAAGAUAUUGCUGCAGACCUGACGAAUGCAGUUUCGGUUUCGGUGCCGUUGCAUUCAUUUGUGUGGGGUUUAGCUCCAUGACCGCCAUGUGUUCUAUGCAUUCAUUUGGCAGUCGUAAUAUGAUUCUGACUCGUCCAUCUCGUAUUUCUUGCAGAAAAUAGUUCGUAAUUCUGUCCUCCGGCUCGAUGCAUAUAGCGCUGCACCCUUUACUCCACUUCUUUGUUGCCUACCUUGCUUACGGUCUUGGCUAUUAGGUUGUUUGAAUGCAGUAGAACCAAAUACCAACUUGGAAGGAAUGGUUGAUGAGUCAAUGUCUCCGUCCUAUAAGUCGUCCAACAAUGCUGUUGCGGGUAUGCUAUGACCUUGAAUUUUGCAGUUGUUUAAAGGUUGAUGCAUAAGGGUCACAGUGAGUAGAAACUCUUGAUGCUCCAAAACCGGAAGAGAAAUUGAAUAGUUGCAAUCUGGAAUAUCUGGUGUAUAUCUGGAUGCAGCGAUAGUUCCUCCCGUUGGCACAGGUUUAUGGCAAGGCCAUCUUGCAACUCGGUUAUGCGUUUGCAUUCUGCAGGUUGGAAUGUUAGCUGCUGCGUGUGUGUUUCUGUGGGUUUGUAGCAGGUGGUUUUGCAGCUGUUACGAGUUGAAAAAUUUGAGAAAGGGAAGUGUCUGAUCCAACAUGUGUAGCUUUAACCAACAAGCAUCCAUUCUCAUUGAUUGUUCCACUGAUAACCUUGUCUCCUGGACUUUUGGCAAUGGGUCUAGCCUCCCCUGUGAUCAUACUUUCAUUUGCAUAGCUUUUGCAUUGUGCGCUGUUCCGUAGCUUAUGGUUUGUGAGUUGUUGGAAGUGGCUCUUAUUUGGAAGCGUUAGCUUGUGCGUGAGCUGCAGUUUGGAUUGGAUAUUGACUUCGUUGUCGUUUUCAGUGUGGCUUGCAUCGGCUGUGCGUGCUAGCUUGUAGCUUUGGUCUUACUGUGCGUUGUUGCAGCUGCUUAGGCUUAGGUUGUAUUGUAGCUUAUGCUACUUCUGUUUUUCUUUUUCCGUCGUUUUGUACUAGUUGUGGCUUCCCAUUUCUGUUUGGAUUUUACGUUGCAGCUUAUGGCUCGUUUGGCACUUUGUUUGCAGUUUUUUUUCAAUCUACGUUCCUGCGUUUUGCCUUGAGCUGCUAUACAACGCUCGUCCUGGCUCAUCAUUUCAAGCGCUUGCGUUUGUGCUGCGUAGCUUCAUUCUGCCGUUCUGCUGUUGGUUUGUCUCUGUGUUACUUGUUACAGUUUGGCUUGGCUUGCAACUUCAACUGGCGUUUCGGAUGCCGUCGCUUACCGUUUUUGAGUUGAGUUUCUGCAGCUUUCACUUUUGGCCUGCUGUGUUUCAAGUUGUUUUUGCUGCGUUUGGCUUGCAGCUUUUUGCAUUUAGCCUGCGUCUUUUGUUUGGCUUGUGCGUCGUUCACUGCUGCGCGUUUCGUAUGCUAUGUUGUUUAAGUUGCAGCAGGCUUUGGGCUUCACUUUGGUAGCUUGUACUACAACUUUUGUUUGAGCUGUAGAUUGGCUAUUUCGGAAGCUCUUCUCCAUAUCUUGUUGGGAGCAGUAUUAUGCAUUUCCCUUCCUGGACUUUAUUUUUUAUUUUUUUGUUUGUAAUAUUGGGCUUGGGUUAUAAAUGGAUGUGCUGGAUAAAUGGAUUAUGGUUAAAAAAUGGAAUUUGGUUUAAAAUGAA